rnacentral:rRNA from 1 species
CUGUCGUCAGCUCGUGUCGUGAGAUGUUGGGUUAAGUCCCGCAACGAGCGCAACCCUCAUCCUUAGUUGCCAUCAGGUAAUGCUGAGUACUUUAAGGAAACUGCCAGUGAUAAGCUGGAGGAAGGUGGGGAUGAUGUCAAGUCAUCAUGGCCUUUAUGGAGUGGGCUACACACGUGCUACAAUGGUGUCUACAAUGGGCUGCAAGGUGCGCAAGCCUAAGCUAAUCCCUAAAAGACAUCUCAGUUCGGAUUGUACUCUGCAACUCGAGUACAUGAAGUUGGAAUCGCUAGUAAUCGUGGAUCAGCAUGCCACGGUGAAUACGUUCUCGGGUCUUGUACACACUGCCCGUCACGCCUGGGGAAUUGA